rnacentral:rRNA from 1 species
GAUGAACGCUGGCGGCGUGCCUAAUACAUGCAAGUCGAGCGAACAGAUAAGGAGCUUGCUCCUUUGACGUUAGCGGCGGACGGGUGAGUAACACGUGGGUAACCUAUCUAUAAGACUGGAAUAACUCCGGGAAACCGGGGCUAAUGCCGGAUAACAUGUUGAACCGCAUGGUUCUACAGUGAAAGGCGGCUUUGCUGUCACUUAUAGAUGGACCCGCGCCGUAUUAGCUAGUUGGUGAGGUAACGGCUCACCAAGGCAACGAUACGUAGCCGACCUGAGAGGGUGAUCGGCCACACUGGAACUGAGACACGGUCCAGACUCCUACGGGAGGCAGCAGUAGGGAAUCUUCCGCAAUGGGCGAUAGCCUGACGGAGCAACGCCGCGUGAGUGAUGAAGGUCUUCGGAUCGUAAAACUCUGUUAUUAGGGAAGAACAAAUGCGUAAGUAACUGUGCGCGUCUUGACGGUACCUAAUCAGAAAGCCACGGCUAACUACGUG